UUUAGUGGUUGGCAAAUUUUAGCAUUCUAACAAAUCUAGUGCACCCUACACAUGCUAGUCAACAAAUAUGGCACUGUAAAUGUAAUGCCCCAGACACAUCCGCCGGUGGUCGUUACUCCUGGUGAGAUCUAGACUGUCCCCAUAUAUCAAUACUAUUCUUUUAUGCGUACUUUAUCCUCACUCAUGUGCAACCGGGAUCAACUUCCCGGUCGUACACCCAUCCUAGAACUACUCCAAGCCAAGCACGCUUAACUUGGUAGUUCUGUUCGAAUGGGCUUUGAGAAAAAAAAGGAAUUCAUUAUUGAUAUGAGUAGCCUAUCAUCCCUAAUAAGCCAGGCUAUCACAUACACCACCACUAAGAGGAAUCGACGUCCUCGUCACGACAGAGGAGCAUUCCCUCUUGGCACAAACGUCUGUGCAUCCAGUCCAGUAUG
rnacentral:lncRNA from 1 species